UACGUAGGGUGCAAGCGUUGUCCGGAAUUAUUGGGCGUAAAGAGCUCGUAGGCGGCCUGUCGCGUCGGUUGUGAAAACCCAGGGCUCAACCCUGGGCCUGCAGUCGAUACGGGCAGGCUAGAGUCCGGCAGGGGAGACUGGAAUUCCUGGUGUAGCGGUGAAAUGCGCAGAUAUCGGGAGGAACACCGGUGGCGAAGGCGGUUCUCUGGGCCUUACCUGACGCUGAGGAGCGAAAGCGUGGGGAGCGAACAGG
rnacentral:rRNA from 1 species